rnacentral:rRNA from 1 species
AGAGUUUGAUCCUGGCUCAGGAUGAACGCUGGCGGCGUGCUUAACACAUGCAAGUCGAACGCACCUUCGGGUGAGUGGCGGACGGGUGAGUAACGCGUGGGAAUCUGCCCUCAGGAGGGGGAUAACGGCUGGAAACGGCCGCUAAUACCCCAUAUGCCGAGAGGUGAAACGAAUUUCGCCUGAGGAUGAGCCCGCGUCUGAUUAGCUAGUUGGUGGGGUAAUGGCCCACCAAGGCGACGAUCAGUAGCUGGUCUGAGAGGAUGAUCAGCCACACUGGGACUGAGACACGGCCCAGACUCCUACGGGAGGCAGCAGUGGGGAAUUUUCCGCNAUGGGCGAAAGCCUGACGGAGCAACGCCGCGUGAGGGAUGAAGGCCUCUGGGCUGUAAACCUCUUUUCUCAAGGAAGAAGACAUGACGGUACUUGAGGAAUAAGCCACGGCUAAUUCCGUGCCAGCAGCCGCGGUAAUACGGGAGUGGCAAGCGUUAUCCGGAAUUAUUGGGCGUAAAGCGUCCGCAGGCGGCCCUGUAAGUCUGUUGUUAAAACGUGGAGCUCAACUCCAUUUCAGCAAUGGAAACUACAGGGCUCGAGUGUGGUAGGGGCAGAGGGAAUUCCCGGUGUAGCGGUGAAAUGCGUAGAUAUCGGGAAGAACACCAGUGGCGAAGGCGCUCUGCUGGGCCAUAACUGACGCUCAUGGACGAAAGCUAGGGGAGCGAAAGGGAUUAGAUACCCCUGUAGUCCUAGCCGUAAACGAUGAACACUAGGUGUCGGGGGAAUCGACCCCCUCGGUGUCGUAGCCAACGCGUUAAGUGUUCCGCCUGGGGAGUACGCACGCAAGUGUGAAACUCAAAGGAAUUGACGGGGGCCCGCACAAGCGGUGGAGUAUGUGGUUUAAUUCGAUGCAACGCGAAGAACCUUACCAGGGUUUGACAUCCUGCGAAUCCCUUGGAAACGAGGGAGUGCCUUCGGGAGCGCAGAGACAGGUGGUGCAUGGCUGUCGUCAGCUCGUGUCGUGAGAUGUUGGGUUAAGUCCCGCAACGAGCGCAACCCACGUCUUUAGUUGCCAGCAUUCAGUUGGGCACUCUAGAGAGACCGCCGGUGAUAAACCGGAGGAAGGUGUGGAUGACGUCAAGUCAUCAUGCCCCUUACAUCCUGGGCUACACACGUACUACAAUGCUACGGACAAAGGGCAGCAAGCUCGCGAGAGUUAGCAAAUCCCAUAAACCGUGGCUCAGUUCAGAUCGUAGGCUGCAACUCGCCUACGUGAAGGAGGAAUCGCUAGUAAUCGCAGGUCAGCAUACUGCGGUGAAUACGUUCCCGGGCCUUGUACACACCGCCCGUCACACCAUGGAAGUUGGCCAUGCCCGAAGUCGUUACUCCAACCCUUGUGGAGGAGGACGCCGAAGGUGGGGCUGAUGACUGGGGUGAAGUCGUAACAAGGUAGCCGUACCGGAAGGUGCGGCUGGAUCA